rnacentral:rRNA from 1 species
AUGGGGAUCUGCCCGAUAGAGGGGGNUAACUACUGGAAACGGUGGCUAAUACCGCAUAAUGUCUACGGACCAAAGCAGGGGCUCUUCGGACCUUGCACUAUCGGAUGAACCCAUAUGGGAUUAGCUAGUAGGUGGGGUAAAGGCUCACCUAGGCGACGAUCUCUAGCUGGUCUGAGAGGAUGAUCAGCCACACUGGGACUGAGACACGGCCCANACUCCUACGGGAGGCAGCAGUGGGGAAUAUUGCACAAUGGGCGCAAGCCUGAUGCAGCCAUGCCGCGUGUAUGAAGAAGGCCUUAGGGUUGUAAAGUACUUUCAGCGGGGAGGAAGGUGAUAAGGUUAAUACCCUUAUCAAUUGACGUUACCCGCAGAAGAAGCACCGGCUAACUCCGUGCCAGCAGCCGCGGUAAUACGGAGGGUGCAAGCGUUAAUCGGAAUUACUGGGCGUAAAGCGCACGCAGGCGGUCAAUUAAGUCAGAUGUGAAAGCCCCGAGCUUAACUUGGGAAUUGCAUCUGAAACUGGUUGGCUAGAGUCUUGUAGAGGGGGGUAGAAUUCCAUGUGUAGCGGUGAAAUGCGUAGAGAUGUGGAGGAAUACCGGUGGCGAAGGCGGCCCCCUGGACAAAGACUGACGCUCAGGUGCGAAAGCGUG